AUUGAACGCUGGCGGCAGGCUUAACACAUGCAAGUCGAGCGGGGACUUCGGUCCUAGCGGCGAACGGGUGAGGAAUGCUUGGGAAUCUGCCUUGUAGUGGGGGAUAACGUUUCGAAAGGAACGCUAAUACCGCAUACGUCCUACGGGAGAAAGGGGGGGAUCUUCGGACCUCUCGCUAUAAGAUGAGCCCAAGUCGGAUUAGCUAGUUGGUGGGGUAAAGGCUCACCAAGGCGACGAUCCGUAGCUGGUCUGAGAGGAUGAUCAGCCACACUGGAACUGAGACACGGUCCAGACUCCUACGGGAGGCAGCAGUGGGGAAUAUUGGACAAUGGGCGAAAGCCUGAUCCAGCCAUGCCGCGUGUGUGAAGAAGGCCUUCGGGUUGUAAAGCACUUUAAGCGAGGAGGAAUGGCUCUGGGUUAAUACCCUUGAGCAGUGACGUUACUCGCAGAAUAAGCACCGGCUAACUCUGUGCCAGCCGCCGCAGUAAUAC
rnacentral:rRNA from 1 species